ensembl:lincRNA Gm28901 predicted gene 28901
CCUUCUCGUGUGAAUGCAGUGGCCGGUGGUGCUCUGCACUGUGAACUCGCUGUCUCCAUAUCUGUGGUCAUACAUUCCUGAGACAAUAGCUGAGGUCUCUCCCACACAGGUCAGUGGUGAAGCCAUAGCCAUCACUGAGGGCACUGUAGUCUUCAUAGCCCCCAGAGCCUGCACCAUAGGCACCAGACCUCAUCCUAUCCAGGCUUGCGUGUUUCACAAUGCCAGUGUACCUCCUGGCUGUGCCAGGCCUGUCCUAAGGCCCAGGCCUCUGCACAGACAUAAACUUCAGAGGUGGGUCUGGCCCUAUUCUCUCCUUGUGCUUCCCUAACACUUUCUCAGCUAACUCUUGUAAGAUAACAAGUUUUCUAUGGGAGGAAGGU